rnacentral:lncRNA from 1 species
UUUUUUUUUUUUUAAAGUACACAAAACCCCAAAGAACUUUAAAAUCUGCUCUGCACCAUUGGAUACAUAAACCAAACAAUUUAAAUGCAAAAUCUGAAACUGAAACUAUGGAUUCUCUGCAAACAUGAAGUGUUUUCUUAGUACAGCUGCUUGUAUCAGGUAAUUUCACUGUUAGGAAUAAUACAUCAACCAGUGAAUUGUGGUUUUCUUAUCUAUCUAUCUAUCUAUCUAUCUAUCUAUCUUUCUAUCAUGUGUGUCAGUGUGAGGGUGUCUGGUCCCCUGGAAUUGGAGUUACAGACAGUUGUGAGCCACCAUGGGGUGUUGAGAAUUGAACCCUGGUCCUGUGGAAGAGCAGUCAGUGCUCUUAACGUCUGAGCUGUUUCUUCAUCCCAGAAUUGUGAUUUUCUUAAUGCCUGCGUCAUUAAACAAAUUAGCAUAAAACACAAAGCUCUUCUUUGGCACAACUGUUUAUGUCUGUGACCAACACCAAGUCCCCGCACACGGACAGCCACUAUAUUCUAAGUUACAAAAUAGGAUAUAUGUUUCAUAAACUUGACUUUAAAUAAAAGGAUCUGCUUUCCAGAAGAAGAAAUAAGCAGAUCCAUACUCCACAAAUUUAUUAUUUAUUUGGCAUUGUUUGAGGCAGGUUUUUAUACAGCCAAGGCUGGCUCCAGACCUGAAAUGUAGCUGCGGCAGUUUAACUGAGAAUGUCCUUCAUAGACUCAAGUAUCUGAAUUCUUGGUUCUCAGUCGAUGGCUUAGGGAAGAGUGGCCUUGUGGGAGGAAGUAUGUCCUUGGGGAGGAUUUUGAGGACUUAAGGAGUCCUGCCGCCGUUUUUUAGUGCAUCCUCUCCACUUCCUGUUUGUGACUGAGGCUAUGUACCCUCAACCUCUGCCUGUCUCACCAUGUGUCCUGCAUGCCUGCUGUCAUGAUGGAGUCUUAUGCUCCUGCAACCACAAGUCAAGGCAAACUGUUUCUUCCAUAAAUUGCCUCAGUCAUGAUGUCUUAUCACAGCAACAGAACAGCAGCCAAUACGGUAGCUGAGGAUGGCUCUGAACUACACCUUGUUCAUGAUGUCUUAUCACAGCAACAGAACAGCAGCCAAUACGGUAGCUGAGGAUGGCUCUGAACUACACCUUGUUCAUGAGGUGCUAGGAAUCAACUCCAUGGCUUUAUGCAGGCUACUCAAACACCCUUCCAACUAGACAAGCACUCUAUCAACUCAAGUUGCUUUCCACGAGAUUGUAUUUCCUAUGGGGAACCAGCUUUCAUUGAAGAAAUAGAAGAUUCCAAAUAAGGGCAGAAAAAGUACAAGGAAAGACUAGAACAUUUUGAAUGACAGAAAGGGAAAGAGUGGGUCACUUGUGAGGGUUUACACCUUUAAUCCCAGCACGAGUGUGGUCUACAGAAUGAGUUUCAAGCUAGCCAGAGGAAAAUAGUGAGAGCUUAUCUC